rnacentral:rRNA from 1 species
GUCCACGCCGUAAACGAUGGAUACUAGCUGUUGGGAGCAAUCUCAGUGGCUAAGCGAAAGUGAUAAGUAUCCCACCUGGGGAGUACGUUCGCAAGAAUGAAACUCAAAGGAAUUGACGGGGGCCCGCACAAGCGGUGGAGCAUGUGGUUUAAUUCGAUGAUACGCGAGGAACCUUACCAAGGCUUAAAUGUAGUUUGACCGAUUUGGAAACAGAUUUUUCGCAAGACAAAUUACAAGGUGCUGCAUGGUUGUCGU